rnacentral:rRNA from 1 species
UACGAAGGGGGCUAGCGUUGUUCGGAAUCACUGGGCGUAAAGCGCACGUAGGCGGAUGUGCCAGUCAGGGGUGAAAUCCCGGAGCUCAACUCCGGAACUGCCUCUGAUACAGCACGUCUUGAGUUCGAGAGAGGUGGGUGGAAUUCCUAGUGUAGAGGUGAAAUUCGUAGAUAUUAGGAAGAACACCGGUGGCGAAGGCGGCCCACUGGAUCGGUACUGACGCUGAGGUGCGAAAGCGUGGGGAGCAAACAGG